GCCAUUAUGAUGCAGGAGCUGACAUGGGGAGUCUGUCCUAAAGGUGGCCCACAUGAUGCAGUCUAAAGGUGGCAAUUAUGAUGCAGUAGCCGAUAUGGGCAGUCUGUCUAAAGGUGGCGAUUAUGAUACCAGAGCCGCAAGAGCCAAUAUGGGCAGUCUGUCUGAAGGUGGCGAAUAUGAUGCCAGAGCCAAUAUGGGCAGUCUGUCUAAAGGUGGUGAUUAUGAUGACAGAGCCAACAUGGACAGUCUGUCUAAAGGUGGUGAUUAUGAUGCAAGAGCCAAUAUGGGCAGUCUGUCUAAAGCUGGCGAUUAAGAUGCAAGAGCCAAUAUGGUCAGUUUGUCUAAAGGUGGAGAUUAUUAUGCCAGAGCCAACAUGGGCAGUCUGUCUAAAGGUAGCCCUUAUGAUGCAGGAACUGAAACAGGAAGUCUGUCCUAAAGGACCAUAUUCCUGUCCAACUUGCCAAAAAGGAGUUACUACCACCCAUCAGAGAAGAUCAAGGGGAGCGCAGGAAGUUGGCAAAAAUAGUGUAAUGCACUUCCCCCACCUUCUGUGAAUGAAGAUGAUUUUAGAGAUUCCAAGAGGGGCAUUUUCCCAACUCAUCUUGAUGAGAAGAGCUGCUGCCAUCAGUUGCCCAUCUGGCCAUGGAAAGCGCUUGGAUGUACAUGUCUCUAAGCAUGUGGAGAGAGCUGCUUCUUGAGUUCUAUAUUAAUUGUGUAAUAUAUUAUAAAGCGACGAUAAAAAUGUGCCCUCCUGAACAAAGGUCUACAAUGAUCUUUCUGCAACGUGAGAUCUUGCUUGGCAAAGAAACCUAGGAGUUAAAAAAAAGGAACAGAAGUUACAAAACAUGUUAUUUUGCCUUAAAGAAAUUCCCCCUGAAGACCUGUCUUCCUAAUUAGUGUGGAAAGAAGUCUGGAGGAUGAAAACAAGUGUGGAUAUUAAGGUAGAAACUAGAAAAAGUAGCAGGUUGGAGAAGAUUAUAAAUGAGCCAAAAAGGAAAGGAAUGUAUCUCCAAAUAACCAGAAGAAAAAUACGUGUUUUUCAAAAUUUAUUUAAUUUAUUUAUUUAAUUUAUUUAUUUGAUUUAUAUACCACCCAUCUGGCAGCCAAGGCCACUCUGGGCGGUUUACAACAAAUAAAAAAAAAGUAACAAAAUAGCA
rnacentral:lncRNA from 1 species